AUUGGUGCGAUAUUUGUUACGGAAAUGCCCUUCAUCCGAAUGUAAUCUGAGACUCUCUCCUCUGUCCGUAUUUUGCUCAGAAACCCCACAAGAUCGAAAAAUCUCCUCAAUCACACCCUGUUUGGUUUGGAGCAACAUGUUAGAAAUUUAACGGUUCUUCAGAGUUGACCAUCACAGAGGUGACCGUGGUCAAAGCUGAAGGUGGUAUAUAUAACCCACGGUGACGGACAAGUGAGGAGACUGAAGUAACUCAGUUGACGUUGGUACAACUGAGGGAAAGACGACAUCCUCUUCAUAUAUAGAGCACCGGUUUUCCUCCGCGUCAUCCCCACACCCCUCCGUGCAGAUAUGAGGGCGUGCACUUCAAUAGGAUACAUAGUCUAGCCAAUUUCCUUGAAGUCCUUGCUUCUGUUGGAGGAGCUUCAGUCAUUACCUUUUACAAAGGGAUCUACCAUUUAUACUCCACACAUUUAGCAUUACAUCAGGAACAAUUCUUGGAUGCCAAAGGACAGAACUGGAACUGGGGUGGUAUUUAUCUCUUUGGUCGCUGCUUAUGAUGGUCUGGUUGGAUUGUGAUGCGAGCAUAUAUAUGUGAACAAGAUCAAGGAUGCAAGCAUGGCUGCAAGAGCUGCUGUUGAGCUUUCAAACUCUGAAAAUAUGAAAUGGCAGUAUUCAAGUAGAUCUCAGAAAAAAAGAGUUUCUUAUAUUUUCAUUACUAUGUUGACGAAAUUGUCAAAAUAUGAGAAGAAAGUAUUCAAGCUUGCCUCAUUCUAAAUAUGAGGGCCAAUUGUAGCCGCUCAAACUUUGUA